UAGCAUCCCAAAUGCCAACAGCAAGGCAA
rnacentral:piRNA from 1 species